ncrna:unclassified sequences FuFi-1 RNA
UCUGCCAACGAUGGCUAUCAAAUCAAUGCUGAACCAUAACUGCAUAAGUGUCAGAACGUUUCAAGAAGCAUUGGCGUUAUACAAUGCGCCGAAAGACUGCAAAACGUAUACGGUUAAAAAUUUGGGUAAAAACUGUCAGUGAUAACGCACUGGCAGUUUUUA